rnacentral:rRNA from 1 species
UACGUAGGGACCAAGCGUUGUUCGGAUUUACUGGGCGUAAAGGGCGCGUAGGCGGCGUGUCAAGUCAAUUGUGAAAUCUCCGAGCUUAACUCGGAACGGUCAAUUGAUACUGAUGUGCUAGAGUGCAGAAGGGGCAAUCGGAAUUCUUGGUGUAGCGGUGAAAUGCGUAGAUAUCAAGAGGAACACCUGAGGUGAAGACGGGUUGCUGGGCUGACACUGACGCUGAGACGCGAAAGCCAGGGGAGCAAACGGG